rnacentral:rRNA from 1 species
CGUAAGCAUGGUAGGAUAGCGUAAUUAACGCGAUGAAGGAUGACCGUAAGGACAUGUUGGAGCGUUAACUAGUGAGAAUUCCGGUAUGAGUAGCGAAAGAUAGGUGAGAAUCCUAUCCACCGAAUGAGUAAGGUUUCCCCCGGAAGGCUCGUCCGCGGGGGGUUAGUCGGGACCUAAGGCGAGGCUGAAAAGCGUAGUCGAUGGACAACAGGUUGAUAUUCCUGUACCGAUAUUUAAUUGCCGAAGGAAGGACGCAGAAGGAUAACACAGGCCACUAUUGGAUGUGGUUUUAAACAGUUAGUCUUCAUAAGAGUCAAAUGCUUUUAUGUUUAAGGAUAAGCUGUGAAUGUACCAAGUUUACUUGGAAAUUGUGUGAUUUCACGCUGCUGAAAAAAGUUUCGUAGGAAGAAAAUAUUGCCCGUACCGCAAACCGACACAGGUACUCAAGUGGAGAACACUAAGGUGAGCGAGUGAACUAUUGUUAAGGAACUCUGCAAAAUGAGUCCGUAACUUCGGAAGAAGGACUGCUGGUUUUAUACCAGCCGCAGCAAAUAGGCCCAAACAACUGUUUAUCAAAAACACAGGUUUCUGCAAAAUCGUAAGAUGAAGUAUAGGGGCUGACGCCUGCCCAGUGCUGGAAGGUUAAAAGGAGGACUUAGCUUCGGCGAAGGUCUUAAUUGAAGCCCCAGUGAACGGCGGCCGUAACUAUAACGGUCCUAAGGUAGCGAAAUUCCUUGUCGGGUAAGUUCCGACCCGCAUGAAAGGCGUAAUGAUUUGGGCGCUGUCUCAACAAUAGACUCGGUGAAAUUUAAAUUCCAGUGAAGAUGCUGGGUACCCGCGACAGGACGGAAA